ACAGGGUAUAAAUACAGUAGCAGCGACUGCUUGCUCCAGAUAAAUCCAUAAGUAUUGACUCGUCUGCCGGCUGUAGGAGACUUGCCACAUCUGUGACUAGUAUCCGUGUCGUCCCCGGUAUCUGUGGCGAGACACACCGUCACAGACGUCGCCGUCCGAUGAGGCAUCGAAAAUGUAGGACCUAUGGCUAGAAAGAUAAGGACGGAUGACACCCCCGCGUCGUACACCUAUUGAUAGAAGGAAGUUAGAAGCGACACCUCCGACACGCUAAGUGAAAAUGACAUCCGGUACUACUACUUCCGGUCCCACUACACCGCAGGUUUUCACCAUCUUCACGUUACCGUCGUAUGAAGACGCUGUCAAGAGCUCAGGCGAGCCCCCUUCAUAUGAACAAGCCUUAACGCAUCCGAGAGUUGAUCAUCUGGAGCAUGACGUCAACCCGCAUGUUCCUCCCAACGUGGUGGCCCCUACUUACACGCCGAAUCAAAUCAACAUCCAGCCCUAUCACCAGAGUGCCUGUCGCCGCAAGUUCUACCGCUCGCUGUGCUGGGUCGUUGCUGGGGCAGUGAUUUUGUUGUUAGGAUACAUCAUUUAUAUAGGAAUAUGGAGGAAUAUAAACACGGAGACGAAAACGUGACACGUGACUUCAUCAACACCAUAUUACUUGGUACAUGUGGCAGUAUGGAUGUUCAGUCUGACUGGGAUACUGUCUGCAGGAUCUGCGCAUCAAAUGGUUUUCAAAAACACCUUUCAGCUCAAGCAAUGACAGUUCACUGAGUGCCUUGCAAGUGUUCUGUUAAUGAUCAAGCAGACAUAAUACUGUCUGUAGAAUAUCUCUGAAUAUGGAUCUUCUUGGAAUUUAGUACUUGUCCCCGUUCCACAAAGCGAUCGCAGCGCUACGACAGUCGUAAGUCUGUGUUAAAAUAUGGGAGUUACGAUCACCUUAGCGCUACGACAGUCGUAAGUCUGUGUUAAAAUAUGGAGUUACGAUCACCU